rnacentral:rRNA from 1 species
UGGGGAAUCUUGCGCAAUGGCCGCAAGGCUGACGCAGCGACGCCGCGUGUGGGAUGACGGCCUUCGGGUUGUAAACCACUGUCGGGAGGAACGAAUACUCGGCUUCGAAUAGGAGCCCGAGGGUGACGGUACCUCCAAAGGAAGCACCGGCUAACUCCGUGCCAGCAGCCGCGGUAAUACGGAGGGUGCGAGCGUUGUCCGGAAUCACUGGGCGUAAAGGGCGCGUAGGUGGCCCGUUAAGUGGCUGGUGAAAUCCCGGGGCUCAACUCCGGGGCUGCCGGUCAGACUGGCGAGCUAGAGCACGGUAGGGGCAGAUGGAAUUCCCGGUGUAGCGGUGGAAUGCGUAGAGAUCGGGAAGAAUACCAGUGGCGAAGGCGUUCUGCUGGGCCGUUGCUGACACUGAGGCGCGACAGCGUGGGGAGCAAACAG